GAAAUGGCUGGCUGAGUUUUAAUCUUACAAAAAAAUUUGAAAAAGGUGUAGAAAUGCAUUCAGUAUCAUUUCAUCAUGCAUCACUGUUGCAAACAGAAACACAGGCGUAUACACACACAAGAGCCAUGCCCCAUGCCAAACACUCAAGCAUUUCACAACCUGUGACAAAAAGAUUUAGUAUGAAGUGCACACAAAUUCAUAUUCAAAGAAUUGUCACCAAACACUGACAUGAACACAUCCAAAAAGAGGUAGCAUGAAUUUCUACGUACAUUCUUAAACAGAAGCCUUGAGAUCUUUCUCAAAGCCCUGUACAGACUGCAGAAAAACUAGAUGCAUGAGGAGAGACAAUUAAAGACCGUCUGUGAGUGUUGAUGGGAAAGCUUCAUUUUAAGUCUUCCAUCAGCGGCUGCUGCACCUCCAGGGAAGAUGGUCUUCACGUAAAUCCCCAUUGGGCCGUACAUGCUGUCUCUGCCUCCGACUAUACUGAAUCCCAGGCCCUGGAAUACCACGAGAGUGAUUUAUAUGGAGGGGACCAAGUGUGCUGAACUCAGAGAGCGAGAUGGUCUAACCACAGCCUGCAGAGACCGAGGAGAGCACAAAUAAUGUGGCUCUCUUUUGUGCAGGAGUAAUGAGUUGAGCAGAACCACAGAAUCUCCCAUCACACCCGCCAUGUGAUAAUCAUUCAUUUCCAGGAGACAUCCCUGUGAUCCCAGGCAAGCCAGAAUUAACAUCGGAAAACUUUUGAGAAAUACUCUGACGUUCUCAGAUAUCAUCAUCAUGAGACACUUUCUAAAAGGUUUAUAAGUGACAGUGAUAAGAUUAUAUACUGCAGUGAAAUUAUUGUGCAGUGCAUUUUUGUCCAUGGUCAAAUGUGCAAAUAUUUUAAGAACAUUAUUAAAGACCAGAUGACUUUGAACGAACGUUCUGUUAAUGUUACUAGAAGAACGGUUGUUGAUAACUUUAAGAAAACCUUGCCAGAACGUCCUGAAAACGUUUUCUGUUCGCUAGGCAGGUACACAAAAGACAACAGUAGUUCAAUGUUGUUUUACAAUGUUUGUUUGUUGUUUUUGUCUUGUGUAAUUUUUUUGAUUUUACAUAGAUUAAUUUCCACAAUCUUUCAUAUGAACAUACUGUGCAGUUCUUUGAAGUGUAUUUAAACAUUAAGUUUUAUUAAAAUAAAAAUAAAGUAAAUUAUUAUUUUAUUUAAUUUUUCUUAUACGUUUUUAAACUUGACUUUUUCUUCAUUACGCCUACGUGACCGGCUUUCAUUUUCCACUGUGUUUGCAAUGUGCUACAGUGUAUAAUGCUAUAUAAACUUGCCUUACUUAAUAUAUGAACACUUUAGUGACCACCUGGUGAACACAUAUCUUUCCCUCAACACAAAAUAAUUCUGCUAUUUUGCUUUAUAUUCUGCUUUUUUUUUUUUUUUUGCUCACAAUUGCGAGAUAUAAAGUCAGAAUUGCAAGUUAUAAACUCACAAUUGUGACUUUAUAUCUCGCAAUUCUGACUUUAUAUCACUCAGUUCUGACUCAUAACUCAAUUCUGACUUAUCACUCACAAUUCUGACUUUGUAACUCGCAAUUCUGACUUUAUAUCUCACAAUUGUGACUUUAUAUCACGCAAUUCUAUGACUAUAUAUCUCACAAUUUUGACUUUAUAUCAUGCAAUUCUGACUUUAUAUCUCGC